UGCCGCUGUUGUUGUGCAAUACCGACCCACGUGAGCGAAAAACGACACUCUGACAGCUGGCAACUG
rnacentral:snoRNA from 1 species